UAACAGUUUCUUCUAAGAUUUAUUUAUUUGAGAGAUCCGUGGACAGAGAGGGAUUGAUCUUCCAUCCUCUGGUUCACUUCGUACAUGGCCGCAACAGCUAGGGAGGGUCAGUUUAAAGCCAGGAGCCUACGGGGCUGGCACUGUGGUGUAAUGGGUUCAGCCAGCGGUGCAGUACUGGCAUCCCAUAUGGGUGCUGGCUUCAGUCUCGGCUGCUCCACUUCCAAUCCAGCUCCCUGCUAAUGUGCCUGGGAAAGCUGCGAAAGAUGACCCAGAUGCUUAGGCUGCUUCUCCCACAGUGUAGACCCAGAAAGCUCCUGGUUCCUGCUUCCACCUGGCACUUCCCUUGCCAUUGUGGCUAUUUGAGAAGUGAACCAGCAGAUGUAAGACCUCUCUCUUUGUAUGUCUGUCUCUCUCUCCCUCUCUCUCCCUCUCCCCUUCUACUCUGUGUGUCUGUGUGUGUGUGUGCAUGUCUUGUCUGUUUGUCUGUCUGUAUUCCUCCCUCUCUCUCUGUAACUCUACCUUUCAAAAAAAUAAAUCUUUUUUGCCAGCGCCGCGGCUCACUAGGCUAAUCCUCUGCCUUCGGCGCUGGCACACCAGGUUCUAGUCCCGGUAGGGGCGCCAGAUUCUGUCCCAGUUGCCCCACUUCCAGGCCAGCUCUCUGCUGUGGCCAGGGAGUGCAGUGGAGGAUGGCCCAAAUCCUUGGGCCCUGCACCCUGGGAGACCAGGAUAAGUACCUAGCUCCUGCCAUCUGAUCAACGCAGGGUGCCAGCCGCAGCACGCCGGCCACGGCGGCCAUUGGAGGGUGAACCAAUGGCAAAGGAAGACCUUUCUCUCUGUCUCUCUCACUGUCCACUCUGCCUGUCAAAAAAUAAAAUAAAAUAAUCAAAAAAUAAACCUUUUUAAAAAGCCUAGAACUCCACCCAGGUCUACCACAGGGGUUGCAGGUGCCCAGGUACUUGGAUCAUAUGCCGCUGGUUUCUCAGGUGUGUUAGUAUGGAGCUGGCUUGGAGCCAGGGCUUGAACAGGCACUUCAAGUAUGGGAUGCUGGCAUCAUAAGCAGUGUCUUAGCCCGCUGUGCCAUACACCAGUCCCCAGAACCAAGCUUUCUUUCUCCCUCCAAAUCUGAUAUCAGUGAAGUAAAGGAGUUUUGCUUGUCCUCAGAGAGGUGUCACAGACUUUUGUCAAACUUGGUUCACUGGGUGUGGUGAUAAAUAAUCUGCACGUGUGUUGAUGUGUUUUAUCAAGCUGAUGAGAGCCCUUGUACUCAGCUAAAGGCUGCUGGGGACCAUGUGCUAAUGGGGUGGACAUGCAGAACCAGUGACAGCCAGGUUACUCAUCAACAGAGAAAGUGUCUACACAAUGCCUCUUUAGUGGGGCAACGAGACCCAAAACAUCACCCUCACCCGUGGCCAGGAAGGGCAGGGGACACAGGCACAGCCCCCUGGGUGGCCACCCCUGGUCACAGUGCCUGAGCUGGAUGAGCUCAUAAUGCAGGUAGCGUCCAUGCCAGGGCUCUGCCGGGCCGGAGACAGAGGUACCAGGAAGAGUUCUCCAUCCGGAGGGCUUCCAGUGGGGGCUGUGAAUGCCAGGAUGGUGGGAGCCCUCUCUCCUGGGAAGGGAGCCUGUGUCUGAGUUGGAGUCCAAGGGACAGAGAUAUGCAAAUAUCGCGGUUUUCCAGUCCUGAAACAUUGAUAAGGUCUGAUAGAGUCAGAGGCACGGCGCUUGGCGGGUAGCGAGGAAGACUUUGGUGACGUAAGCAGAACGUGGUCCACGCCUCCGUCUCCGAGGGGAAAGGCAGGCGCAGCAUCAGACACGGGUGGCAGUGAGUCCCAGCGGGACAGACAGUCUUGGGUGGAAAUAAAGAGUUACUAGAUACUGUAACACGCUGUGUUGAACUUCUCUCUCUUGCUAUUGUACUAUCUCUGUACCUAGGCAUUGGACUUUAUACUUUUUUCCUAAAAACGCAGCCAGCUCUAGCUGAGAGCCGUGUCCCUGUAUCUGUGCCCCAGUUUGCUAGUCAGCACCCAUCGAAACACCAGACUCAGGCCCACAAACUGUGUCCCUGCACUUUAUUAUUUUGAAACAACUCUAGAGCAGACAACAGUGUCCAGCUAAUACAGGUGAGAGGAAAGUCAGCUGCCUUAGGCUCCCUUAUGCAUGGCUGUGUUAAAAACAGCAUCGGCAUUUAAUGGAAGGGAAUGGCUGUGGCCUAAGGUGUAGGCCAGAGACUUAAUUACGGGAGACAUAGGCUCUCCAUGACUGACUUCCUGUCUCUCCUUGGAGCUCCUGUCUCACUGAAAGCUCUGCGCUUUGCUUAUCCCGUUCCCUAAACGCAUGAGGCUCAUUUCUACCUCUCAGAAGUUAAACACAGCACUUCCUUUCCUUUUCUGGGUCAUGUCUAGGUAGCCUGCAAAACUCAGCCAGCACUCACAACCUGUGGGAGGCCUCCCAUGAACCAGCAUUUUCCCUCCACUGCAAGGUCACACACAGUGCUGCCCAAGUCACGCAGAGUGCUGCCAGGUCAACGCAGUGCUGCCCAGGUCAUGAGAGUGCCCUGGGAGGAGGGGAUCUGCAAAGCUCAUCCUAGGACAACAGAAAAGUGGGGGCAGGAGGCUGGCCACGGAGAAGAGCAGACAGGGGAAGCCACAGCCAGGGCAGGAUCCAGCUCAUGGGGAACUCCCCAGGGGGAAUGCCAAGUCAUAGUCUACGGAAGCCAUGGCCAAUCUUUCCAUCCCAAGGCGGUGCCUGUGAUGCACCAGUAGAUAGGAGCUCUCUCUGCCUCUCAAAUAAUUAAGAAAAAAAAUGAAAGAACCUUAGGAAACCUCCCCAGCCACACUUCAGCCACAUUGCACUCCUGCAGCCACUUUCCAGGAUAAAUGAAUAGGGCUCCCGAGGCUGGUGAAUGGGAGGGAGACCCUGGGCCUGACACAGCCCUCACCGGCGAAGAUGCCGCUAGAACCUUCCACCCUCCAUCCACCUGCUCUGCCCCAGCAACUGAGGAGAGCAUAGCAGGUUUCUCUUCAGAUUAUGGUGCCAUGAAAGGAAACAGCAGCUGGGGUUAUGGAUGGAAACAGAGAAAGAACAUUUCAGGGCCUGUGGCGUUCACUGCCGUCUGUGGCAGCACCAACAAGUGCAAACAGUGAAGCCCACGGCGGAGAGGUUCAUCGCACUGCGGGUUGCACAGAUUAUUAUUCACGGGCACCACACUGCGGAGGGGAAGGAACAGCAGAGAAGGUGACCCAGGUGAGGAAAGGCCUGGAAUCAGAAGAUCCAGCUCAGCCCCUUCCAGUGCACGUGACCUCAGGCAAGUUAACGGAUCUCUGAGCCUUCACGUUUCUCAUCUAAUACGGAACAGAAAAACUAGAACUAUUCAGACAGAACUGCCCUGAUCUUUCCACCCUGGCUACCUCAGAUCCACCCACAUCUAAUCUGCAUUUUCCAUCUCUCCCUUGUGCAACAAGGAGCAUCUUAUGGACUACCACUUUCUGCUUAGCCACGGGGCGAGCCUGGCACCCUCUCCAGAGUGCAGCCUUCGUUUUUUUCCUAAAACCGUCACUUUCUCUCUCUGCUGGGUCAUUGUCAGUAACACUAUGCUCCAGUAUCGCCCCACUUAAAAGCCUCCACCAUGUGCAAGACAAACCUCGGAGUCUGACGCCUUUCUCCAGUUACCGUCCACUGGUCUGGUUCUGGCACGGCAGAGAAGAGCUCUCUCCUUCUUCCCGAGGACUCUGGCCUCCGUCCUCCCUCCUGCGCGUGCCCAGUGAUGUGAGUGGCCACUGCUUCCCUCUGUCCCCAGCCUUCCCCACCUCUCAGUGCUUGCCUCUCUCAGCUCCAGGUGCGCCACCCCCAUCGACUUGCAAACAGCUUUCAAAUCCUCUCCACCUGUAUCUCCAGCCACCAGCCCAGUUCAAGCUGUCAUCAUGCACUAGGCUGUCCUUACCUGGUCUCCACGCUUUGACUCUUUGCAGAGCAGCCAGGAGGUGUCUUCAAAAAGGGAAACUCAGGGAAAGCUGUUCCUUGACUCAAAAUCCUUCAAUGGGAGCCGAGGUUGUAGCAUGGUGGGUUAAGCCACUGCCUGCAAUGCUAGCAUCCUAUAGCUGCUCCACUUCUGAUGCAGCUCCCUGUUAGUGGCUUGGCAAAGCAGCGGACAAUGGCCCAAGUGCUUGGGUCCCUGAAACCUAUGUGGAAGACCCAGAUGAAGCUCCCAGCUGCUGGUUUUGGCUUGGCUCAAGCCUGACCAUUGCGGCCAUCUGGAGAGGGAUCUAGAGGGUGGAUGAUCUCUCUAGGGUUCUUUCAAAUAAGUAAUUUUUUUUUAAAGAGAUAGGGAUCAAAGCCUUUUGAACUACAACUUAGAACUGCCAGCCCCAAGCAAUGCAUUUGUCGGGAAUUCACUGCCCUGGGGAGAGCGGAAGGAGCCACGCUCCACAGCACCAGGCUGAGUCCAGUCUCUGGGGGCAGACUGCUAAGCUCAAAUUCAUCUGGGCCCAGAUGAGGAUCGAAGUAAUUGUGUGCUUUGAUUUCCUCAUCUAGAAACUGGGGGUAAGGGCAGCACAUGGCCCCAAAGUGUGUAAAUAUAAACUAUUAACCCAUAUAAAUGUGUCUGGCAAGGGGUGGGCAUUUGGUGAAAAAGUAGUUUAGGGUGCUGCUCAGAACACCCACAUCCCACUUGGGUUCAGGUCCCAGCUCUGCUUCCUGCUAUUUUGCACCCUGGGAGGCUGCAGGAGGUGGUUCAAGUAUUUGGGAACUGCCAGCUGCAUGGGAGACCCAGGUAAAGUUCCAGGCUCCCGGCUGCAGUCUGGCUGUGCAGGCAUUGGGGGGUGAAUUUGUGGACAGAUGAUCUCAUCUGUCUCAUUCAAAUACAAAUUAAAAUAAAUUUAAAAAUCUUAAAAACAUGUCUGGCAUGUGACAACUUUAUACAUGUUAGUUAUUAUCCCAAGUAAUCUAAAAUAGAGAAUGGGAGAAAUAUUUUGUUGAAAAUAAAUUUUUUUAAAUAAUUAUUUAUUUGAAAGACAAAGUUACAGAGAGAGGUAGGUCCACAGAGAGAGUUCUUCCAUGGGCUGGCUCACUCCGCAAAUGACCUCAACAGCCAGAGCUGAGCUGAUCUGAAGCCAGGAGCCAGGAGCCAGGAGCUUCUUCCGGGUCUUCCGUGUGGGUGCAGGGGGCCCAAGGACUUGGGCCAUCUUCCACUGCUUUCCCAGGCCAUAGCAGAGAGCUGGAUCGGAAGAAGAACAGCCAAGACUUGAACUGGUGAACGCAUGGCAUGCCGGCACUGUAGGCCGGGGCCUUAACUCACUGCGCCACAGCGCUGGCCCCUAAAUUGCUUUUCUGAGAUGAGGUAAACGAGGGUGUGUCCCAGCUGGGCCUGGGGUGGGCACAAGCUGAGCUCUGGGGGCAGUAGGGGGGUCACUGCUGGACCUGCCUUCCCUACCUGGGACUCCCAGCCCAGACUCCACCAGGAAACCAGCUCUCCUGGGUGUUGGGGAUAGAAGCUUAAUUCCCUGGGAACUGGGUAGAAGAGGGUGCUGCUUCACAGUCAGGCAUACAGACAUCUUGUAGUCAGUUCUAUCUAUUUUCUGCUCUGGUUGGAGAACAGGUUUGAGACAGUCACUGACUGGCAUUUGAGGUGUGGGUGGACAGUGCUGGUGAGAGCAGCACUGACCCCAGACAGUGUACCAGUAGAGUUCAGAAUCAUGAGCUUUGCUUUGUGUAGCAGGGUAAGCGGCCACUUGCCAUGCCAGCAUCUCAUCUGAGAAUGGAUUUGAGUCCCAGCUGCUCAGUUUCUGAUCCAGUUCCCUGCUCUAACACACCUGGGAAGGCAGCAGCAGAUGGCUUGAGUGCUUGGGCCACUGCCACCUAUAUGGGAAACCUGGAUGCAGUUCCUGGUUCCUGGCCCAGUCCAGGCUGGUGCAGCCAUUUGAGAGAGACAUACACAGAGAGAGAGAGAGCUCCCAUCUGCUGGUUUAUUCUGAAAUAUCUACAAUGGCCCCAGCAAGGGCCAAAGCAAGAGCUGAAAAUGCCAUUCAGAUCUCUGAUGUGGGUAGAAGCAACCAGUUCCUUGGCCAAGAAGCUGAAAUGAGUAGGCGGAGCUUGAAAUCAAACCCAAGCAUUCUGAUGUGGGAUAAGGGCAUCUGAACUGCUCAACUGGACAUCCACCCCAGAGUUCCCGUUAGUAUCUAGUUAUGCUAUUUAAUAAAAUCAUUGUGCCAUUUUAGAAGAUCAGUCUUUUCUUAGAUAUAAACUUAAUUUCCUCUCAAAAGUACCCAAUUUUAAGCAUCAUAAGAGCAAACAAUCUCAGAACAAUUUAUAACAUGGAGAGUAUGUCACCAUAGCUCAUUCCUUUCACUCAUUGCCACAACUGAGCAGCAAGGAGAAUAGAAGCAGUGAGUGGGUCCAAUCUGUAGGAGAGUGGAGGUCAAAGACUAAGUGUUUUGCUUCUCACUUUAGAUGUUUCUAUUACAUAAAUUGCCUCUUAAACAGCUGUGUUAUUCACAGGUCAAUUACUGCUAUGCAUAGCCAUAAGAAAAAGCUAUAGUUCCCAGAGAAAGAGGGAAAAAAAUAACUGAACAAUACAAAAAGUAGAUACUAUGCUUUUACUCUUAAUAGAGAGUGGUAAAACCACCUUAAAACAAUGCAUUUCCAAAAGUAGUGAAAAUCAUUAAUUUAAGAAAUCAGGAUCUCUCUCUAAACAAAAAUCUUUUUGUAGAAGGUUGGAUGGUGGGCAGAUGCUGCUUGAUGUUGUCUCAAUGACCUCAACAAGAAGUGACAGAUAAUAUAAGGAAUCAUCAGAAAUAACAAAUCCAGAUUUUCAGAGGCAUUCAAGUUUUCAGAGGUCUUCUUACAGAAUUCAGAAACCAUUAGAGGCAUCAUUAUGACAGGUCUCAUUAAGACUUACAAACAGCCCUACACCUGCACAGAUUGAAGGCUUGCUGGGUGUGCAUUCUGCUGGAAUCCUUCACAUUUACCCCAUUCCAAGGCCAUGGCUUGAGCUGAAGAUAAAUGGAUCUCACCAAUUACCAAAGGAAGGUAGGAAAAUGUGGCAGUUAGUUUAUUUUGUUUUAAAGAUUUAUUUAUUUAUUUUAAAGUCAGAGUUAAACAGAGAGAGAAGGAGAAGUAGAGAGAAAUCUUCCAUGCACUGGUUUACUCUCCAAUUGGCUGGAGCUGCACCGAUCCAAAACCAGGAGCCAGGGGCCUCUUCCAGGUCUCCCAAAUGGGUGCAAGGGCCCAAGGACUUGGGCCUUCUUUUACUGAUUUCCCAGAACACAGCAGAGAGCUGGAUAAGAAGUGAAGCAGCCAGGGCUCGAACCAGUGCCCAUAUGGGAUGCCGGCACUGCAGACGGCGGCCCUACCUGCUAUGCCACAACCCCAGCCCCAGCAUUUAGUUUUUAAACAUUACAAAUGAGUUUUCCUUACUGCUGUUAAAGCUCAGAUACCUAAUGCUGUAUGUGUCAUCUUAUUUGUUUAAUUGACAAUUUAUAUACUUAAUUUCCUGAUCAUAGGAGAGAAAGGGAUUGUUAGUGAAUGGAUAGACUUCUCAGAUAUUCACACCAUUCCUCCAAUUUGUCCUUCAAAAUCAAGCACUAGUAUAUUCUUAACAUUUGGCAAAAUUCUGCACAUGAAAAAUUGUGAUAUUUCUUCUUUUUUCAAGGAAAAUAAAAGCAGAAGCAUUUUCCUUUUAUUUUUAAAAAGAAUUUGUUUUCCUUUUUAUACUUCUCAGUUUCCUGAUGUACUCAGACUUUUUUUUUUUCCUAGAUGAACAUUUAAAUUCUGGUGGAAUUUGGUUUUACAAAAAGAAUGAACAAGAACAAUGAAAGAUAGACAUUUGGCCUACUGGUUAAGAUUUCAGUCAGGAUGCCUAAAUACAACUCAUUGCUCCACUCUCUUCUGUCUUUGUUCUAAUGUACACCUAAGUAGCAGGUAAUGACUUGAGUACUUCUGUCCAUGCCACCCAGUGGGAGAUCAGGAUUAAAUUCCUGGAUCCUGGUUUCAGGGUGGCUCAACUGUGAACACUGUGGGCAUUUAGGGACUGAAACAACAGAUGGACAAUCUCUGCCUGCCUGUCCCUCUUUAUCACUCAAAAAUUUUUUAAAAAUUAAAAUGUUUAUGUAGACAUCAAUAUAAUAAAAUGAAUAACUGGAAACUACUUUUCAACAAUUAUUUUUACAUUGCCUUUACUAUUUUUAAUUGCCAUUACUAGUCUGAAUGAAAAUAUCUUCUGUUAAGUCAAAUGAUUAAGUGGUUUAUUAUUAUUUUCCUUAUAAAAUAGAUCUGAGAAGAAAUCAUAAAAUAAAUAUUAGUUCAAAUUAUUUACACAGAAAAUUAUUACCAUAGCAAAUAAAACUUAGGGGUGAGGGGACAGAAACCUAAAAAUGCACUCUGAGUUGGACUUGGAUUUUUUUAUAUAAAUGACUGAAAAAUCCCUGCCUUUUGCCUGUUUGGGGAAUUUAGGAAGGCUUCUCAGAGUUGCAAGUUCCUUGGUACAAUCUAAGUACAAUAUCCCCUCAAUUUGUGAAAUGAUAAGCUCCAAAGUCAUUAGUCAAUGGUAUGAUGAGAAUGGAAACUUAAUCUGAUGAUAGUGUGUAGCUGUGGGCCUUUGGGAAGCAAGUGGGUUAGAUUAGAUUACUAAGAGUACAGCCCCAUGUAUCCUCUGUGUCUUCCACCAUGAAGGGAUGCAGCCAAAACGCGCCCUCACCACAAUCUGCCUCAUGCUACUUAGACUUCCUGCCUGCAGAGUCGUGAGUUAAAUAAAACACUUUCCUUAUAAAGCAGCGCCUCAGGUACUUUGACAUAAACAUGAAAAACUGACCAAUACCAAUGUGAGAUUUAUAAAAAAUACCUACUCCUCAUUCUUUGUAAGAUGAGUCAGUGCAUAUACAGGCCUUAAUAAGGUCCCUGAUGCACUCAAAGUUUUCAGUAACUUGUAGGUUAUAGUCACUGUUAUAUCCAGUGGCUAUAAUCUAUCAAUAUAUAUCUGCUUUUAUAUUUUAUUUUUCUAGUAAUGCUAUUGGAUUUAUGUUAAUAGAUUCUGCAGUACACCAGAGCUACCAUCUAUUUAGGAAAAUACACUGGCCACAAAAUUCUGUAUACCAGCCCCUCCCCCACACCUCUUUAAGAGUUUGCCCAGAACAUUUAUUCAGUAUGUGUCACUGUUGUUCAAACUUCAAAGACAGAGGAACUAUUAUUUGGACUUAUUUCUAUAACCUAAACAGAUCAUUCUAAUGGUUAAUCAUUGCACCUGAAAUUUUCCCCUAAAACAUUGGGUCACUGGCAUGGUAUCUUGCUUUCUCUGCAUGGGCAACAUAAACAGGAACACUGUUUUGAUGAUGCAUCUAGUAUUAAAAAGAGAUGAACGCAAGGCUGCAAAGUUGUAAAUCCUGGUAAGACAACAAAAGCAGAGCAAAUACCUACAAUCCAGUGCACCGUUCAUUCAUCAAAAAUAAUAAGACAAAAAAGUCAUUCAGCAUGAGUCUGGCAAGUUUCACGAUGUGGCCACACUGUUUUAAAAUGCAAAAGAACACCAGAAACUCCACUAAUCUCCCUUUACAUAGGACUCUGGAAGGAGAUAUUACUGCUCCUACUGUCAAGAGGUGGAUUCUGUUUUCUAGCCCUUGAAGCUGGGAUAGCACUGACAACUAGAAUGUGGCGCAAGUGAUAACUGUGCUAUUUGCAGCAGAGCUCUCUAGAGGCCAACAGCUUUUGCUUCUGCCCUGGGAACUGAGAUGGCCAUCCUGAGAGAAAGGCUGAUCUAGCUUGUUUGAAGAUGAAACAUCACUUGAGAAGUAGACCAGCAUUCGCAGCAAUGCCCACACCCAUCCAACUGUCCUGGUGUGUGCUCCCCAAUGAGUGAGACCGGUAAAAAUAGCAGAAGAACCAUGUAGCUAAUCUGCAGAAAUGUGAGACGUGCUAAAUCUUGUUGUUUGAAACUACUGAAUUAUGUUUGUUUAUUGAUGCAGUAAGAUCACAAAAAUGAUCAAUGAUAUUAUAUUAUUUGCAAUAAACAAAUUAUUCUAAAUAUUUUGAGAUCUGGGAAUAAUACAUUCUACUUCUUUUCUGUAUGCUCAUCAUGGAUAACAAAAUGACCAAUAUUACUUGCAAGUACAACCCUUCAAAAGAAUAGUUUCAGUGUUGUAAGCACAUUUAAUUGAGAAGUUCAAGGAGAGAGCUACCAUUUAAAACUGGAAGUCCUGGCCCUUUAAUUACAGAAUUUCAUUGUCUUAUUCCUAGGAGUGCUUUAGUUUGGGCUGACAUGUCAAGACAAUAUUAAAAUGUUUAAACAUGUUUGAAAGCAUCAGCAACUUUCCCCUACACCUUAGGCAAAACUCAGUUAAAAAGCACUUGAAUGUAUCUCAAGAAGCAUUUACUGCCCUAAGGCUUAGACCACUGUCAUUCUGAAUGCAGCAUUAUCACAUACAGUGGAAACUGUGCAUGCCACAUCUCAAACAGUCUUGCUGAUUCAACUCAAACAUGAAUCUGCUGGUUGGCACAUGAAAACUGCACUGCAGCAGAAAAAUGGAUGGUGACUGCUUGAGAGUGAUCAAUUUAUGCACAUCUGAGAUGUGGUUUCUCUUUGAUUCCCCUCUUCACCCUUGCACAAUUAGAGGCAGCAGAGCCUCUCCUCUGAUGGAGCAGAGUGGAAGGAAAGGAAGUGCUGGAAAUGAGAGGAGGCUCUGAUAACAAUCAAGGGCAUUUACAAAACUCAGAGAGGGGCUGAUGACGUUUGCUUCACAUGUUAGUCAUGAUUACGUCACUAAGAACAGACACCAUUCUUGACCAUUCGUAUUUAUUUGUCCAUUGUAAAUAAUGAUAGAUUUCAUGAUUUUCCUUCUAGUCUUUUGGGAUUUCUAAUAUUAGAAAUUAUUUUCUUCAGGAUUCAGAGGCUUUAAUAAUCUUUUGAAAACUAGAAGUAUUUCCUCCCCACCAUUAUAUGUAUCCGCAAAAUUUUAUGCAGAUAUGUAUCCACAAAUUCAGCAUAAAUUUCAGUUGGGGGUGGGGGUAUUUAGCCUAUUGGUCAAGCCUCUGCUGAAGACGUCCCCAUUCCACAAUGCAGUACUUGGAUUUGAUACCUGGUUCAGGCUUCUGUCUCCAGCUUCCUUGGAAGGCAGCAGCGAUGGUGCAAGUAUUUGGGUUUCUGGCAUCUAUGUAUUUGUAUUCCUGACUCUUGGGUUAACUUAAGUUCAGCCUCAGUCAUUGUGGGCACCUAGCAGUGAACCAGUAAAUCAAUCUCUCUCUCUCUCCCCCUUAUUCUAAAACUUAUAAAAAGUCUUCAGUAGGGUUUAAGAUCCCUGAAUUAGACGCUGAGUGUGUUUCCAGCAUUCUUGUUUAUGGGAGAAGGAAGGUACAUUUUUACACUUAGACAUUUUUUUCCUUUGCAUAAGAAUCAAAGGUUAAGAAAUAUUUAAUAGCUCAACAGCAAUCCUCAAAAAGCAAAAAUUACACAAGUAUGUUGUAAAUAAAUUAUUCACUGACAGAUUUGAACAAAUAAUGAAACAUAUAUUUAGAAGUAGAAAAAAUAAUUUAGGUUCAACUGCAUUAACAUUUGAGGUUAAAUUAUUUAAGUGUCUGAAGUUAAACACCCCAAGAAUUUAUAAAUUUUGUUGACUGUGACCUUUGAGGACAGCUGCAAGCAGACAUUGAGCUCUGAAGUGCUGCUUGAGAGGUGGAAUGCUGACUCUUUACUCUGGUCAAUGAGUUAUCAGUGGAAACUACACUGGCAAUCAUGAUUAAAACCAAAAGAGUGUUGAAGAACUCAGGAAUGCAAAGCAGUUAAAUAAAGGGAAAAGAAAAGAAAUGAUCAAUGGUGACCAGCAAACAAAACUGAAUGAGCAGCUAAAAGGGAAGGAAUCAAUGUAGCAUCACUGGAUCAGUUUGCUUCAUUGAUUUUUGCUGCUCAUUGAAAUGUUUUCCUUUAUUUACUUCCUGUUGCUUUGGAGAGUGGCAAAAUCUCACUGCUGAAUCUCACUGGAGCCUAUGAUGGAUGGAGAAACAAGCUGUGGAUCUCCUCGAGUUUGCAUGACACCUUCCCAACUGUAUUCAGAAGUAAUUCCAGUGCUGGCUGGUAGUUAUAGACAGUGAGAGAGACAGAGGGAAAGAUCUUCCUUCCAUUGGUUCACCCCUCAAAUGGCCACUACAGCCGGAGCUACACCAAUCUGAAGCCAGGAGACAGGUGUUUCUUCCUGGUCUCCCGUGUGGGUGCAGGGGUCCAAGCACCUGGGCCAUCCUCCACUGCCUUCCUGAGCCACAGCAGAGAGCUGGACUGGAAGAGGAGCAACUGGGACUAGAAUCCUGCGCCCAUAUGGUAUGCCGGCACUGCAGGCAGAGGAUUAACCAAGUAGCCACGGUGCCAGCCCCCUCAACAUCUUCAUAUUAAAAUGAUUUUUCUCCUAUUCUUUGCCUUUUUAUUCACUUAGCUCUCAUGAAUCUUUCAAAAUCCACCUCCCGUGUGUCUCCUUUGAGAUUUCUUCUGAUCAGCUUGUCUAAAAUUGGUUUCUCUUGGCUCUCCAGUUUCCAUCCUAGAUCUUUCUGUACCAUAGCACUUAGUAUAAUGCACUGGGGUCUGCCAUCUAUUCAUGGGCCUUUUUCUGUAAAGUAUGACUCCUUUUGGGCAAGAUAGGACUAAAAUUUUUAACCAUCUACCCUAGAUUCUAAUACCAUGCCAGUCACAUAUACAGUAAGUGCUUGCUGAACGGGUGAAUGGAUGACAUGGUAGGGAAACAGACUAUAUGGCACUGCUGACAAUUGUGUCUACUUUGCUGAUGGCUAAAGGUAAACUAUUAUCAAGACAUAUGUCAAUCAUAAGUGCAAUGUCAUCAUCCAAGCUGCAGAAGUGAAGAGGCAUUUGCUUUUUCAUUUGGUACGUGCUUACCUGAAUGAAGUUUUCCACCACAUUAUGUUCACCACAUCCUUAGUCCUAUAAUCACUAUAGCUGAGACUUGCUUUCUAAUAGAAUGAGAUAAGUGAUUGGAAGGAGUAAGACAGGGAUGUAUUUUACAGUACAAAAUACAAUUGCCAUAUGUAGUCUAGGCGGUAGGGUUAUCAGUGGAAGCAGUAGGGGCAUUCUAAGCAAAAGUUCAUUGGGGAGGGUUAGGCAUUUUUUGGCCUACAGUUAAGAUGCGAAUUAAGACACCAGCAUCCCACAUCAAGGCUCCUGAGUUCAAUGCCCAGCCUCAGAUCCUGACUUCAGUUUCUUUCUAAUGCACACCAUGGAAUGGGAAUUUCCCAUCUGCAAUUUACUCCCCAAAAUCCCACUACAACUGAGGCUGGACCAGUCUGAAGCCAGGAGCUAGAAACUCACUCUCUUCUACCCUGUGGGUGGCAGCGACUUGGCUUCUUAGGCCAUUACCUGCCACAUCCCAAGAUGCACCAUUAGCAGAAAGCUGAAUAGGGAGCAGAGCCAAGACUCAAACUUCUCCUAGACUGACAUAUUUUAAAUGAAAGAGAUCAUGUGCAAUUUAGGGCAGUGAUUUUCAAACUGAGCAUCAUGAUCUGUGAGUUAAUGGUUGCAUUCAUUUAAGGAGUUUUAUGUGAAGUUCCCAUUGUUUUGUGAAGAUUUUAUACCUUUUUACGGAUGUCUACCUCUUAUAUGUAUGUAGUUGAUUCCUAUCUACAAAGAAUUUCUUACCGUAUGUUACACUGAAAAGACUUGAACACUUCUGUAGUUUAAAACAUCAUGUGAAAAAUCUGUAUAUCCUAGGCAAUUUAUGAGUAACCUAUUUAUUGUUAUAUGAUAUUUGGUACAGUUUAAUGUAAUUUUAAUAUGCAUACAAAGUCAUAUGAAUUGUAAAUUGCAUUUUUGUUGUCAUUUAAAAUUUUACUUCAGAGCCUGAAGUUUCAUCAUAAUUGAAAAAGAAAUCAGAUAACUCAAGGAAUAAGAGUUACUCACAUUCUCAAUAACCACUUCAGGAAGUCUACUGUAAAUACAGUUUCUCAUCUUGAGAUAUUCUGAAUUUACAAUUAAUUCUCUAGAUUUCAAUUUUCUAGAAUUAGGUGCAAUUGUGAUGAGCAUUCUCGUGCUUCACUUAAAUCCUCUGAUAGACUUUGAUUUAUUUCAAUCAGAGAAAUGGCAACAGACCUUUUCUUGGAGAACUUAAUGUGACUUCUUAAAGUCAUAUAGACAUUAAGAUGUAGGACACAUUUAAGCUGUCUAAUUGUAAUGCUGGUCUAAUGCCUAAGUAUUAAUCUGCCACAAUGUCAAAUUACAUACAUUUGGGCUUUUUCUUUAGUAAAAUAUGUCUUGCUUAACAAACUCAUAGUGUAAAAAAUUCAGGAGUGCAAUUAGACUGUCAUCUCUCCCACAGAUGAUUUAAGAAAAGCAUGAAUCAGAGCUUAACAGUCAACAUAAUUUCACAGAUAAUCAUGGAGAAAUUAUGGUACUGCAACAAUUCGAAGUCAGUACAGUCAGACUAGCAGACAGUGACGAUCAACUAUUCAUCUCCACCAUCUGCCAUACAUGCUCUUUAUUUAAGUCUUUGUGUGUGUGUUUUUGUUUUUGCCAAUGUUUUCAGUUUUGACUGUGCCAGCAUUGGGCAUCACAUAGGAAAACAGGUUUCAUGGUGUAAACAGAUUUUCCCUUGUGUGCAAUGAAUUAGCUUCAUUGGCUAUUCUGCAGCUCUUAGGCAAAGAAGACUGGUUGGAAAGGAUUUUUACAAGUCUUUGUGUAUUGGUCAGUUUUUUAUAAUUCAAAUGAAUAAAUUUUAUCACAAGCAAAAAAAGAGAUAAAACUGCAAAUAUUGUAACAAUGGGAAUCAUCUCCAAACAUAUAUUCUGGGAGUUUUCCUAUAAAUGACACACUUAAAAUGUAUGUGAACUGCAAUAACCAUCAUAUUGUACUGAAUACCUCAGCAACUCUUCAAGUGGAAAAAGCUGGCAAUUUCUGCUUUAUACUUUGUCAGCCUUCUCUAUUUUGCAAAUAAGUAAAAAACUAGUGGCAUUGGGAUUUGUUGUGGCAGGACAUAGGAAACUCAGUAAAAUUUAAAUGCGGAGAGAAAAAUGAGAGAUUUGCUGCAUAAAACAGGCAUGAAGUUUCCAAAAUCUCUAAAAUCAUGUUCCUUCAUUCAAUAGAUUUUGAAUUCAAGAUGCAUUCAGGAAUAUUUCAGGUACUAGAGUAAGAUAUUUAUAUAUAAAUUCUAUAAAAGUAUGUUCCUUUGUACUUUCAAGAACUGCUGAAUUCAAGAAUAUCUCAGGUACUAGUCUUAGGUCUUUAUAUAUACCUCCAUUUUAUAUUGUCCCCCUUUUCCAUAUGAGGAAACUAACACACAAAGAAGUUAACUGAGUUCCCCAAGAGUCUACGUCUACUGUGCUCUUGAUGACUAUAAUGUACAUCUUCUCAAACAGUAGCACAUCCAUGUAUUAUGAACUCAUGUUGUAAUUUUGAAGAAAAUCAUCUUUAAGCUGAAUUGAAGCAGCAAAACAUGCGUGUAUACAUUGAAGACAGUUGGAAAGAUGUCAGAUAUAGUGGGAACUGCUGAAGUCUUAGCCUGACAUAAGGGAAAUGAUUUUAGCUUGGACAGAUUAAAAAGGUGAAAACUUAAAAAGCAUGUUGAGGGCACCAGGGGAGAGGUCCUAGAGCCAGAACAACACUGAGAUGUGACUUGGUACUCAGACUGCUUUUCCUUGGUGUUUUCUCUUACAGCUGUACCUCAGUUGGUCCUUGAUUUUUUUGUGGCCAAGUCAAAAUUACUGUGUUCUUAAAAAGCCUCAAACUUCUACCAUUACUGAAGCCAAAUACAGCUACAGAAAAGUUUUGUCUUCAUGGUGAUAGGUUUAUUUUAAAUUCCACAUGGUAGGAAGAGUGCUCAAUUAUCAGGCUUUGGGUCACUGUCAUUCCACGGAAAGAAAAGCCAUCUUUGGAAACCACACGGGGCUGGGUUGAAGCGAGAACAGGAGAUGCUAAAACACUCCUUAGUGAAUUGGAUACGAGAAGUGGAAAUAAACAUUCUAAGAACAACAAAAUGGAGUAGGAUUUGGAUAUUUUUUUCUGGUAAACGGCGCAUCAAAAAGAUUACAUAAGCCAUAUUAAUCACAAUUUGGAAGGAAAGCAGACUACAUAUUUCUUAAAAGAAAAUCAACACAAAUGAAAUUUAGACUAUACUUCCAAUUUAACUCCCUAAGUUAAACAAGUAAUUGAAUAAUAUGUAGAUUUUUAGUUUAUUUGAGGAUAUAUGGUUGCAACCAAUGAAACUGAGGUAUAACCAGUGGGAAUGGGGAAAAGCUAUGUAUAUUAAAUGAUAGUAAAGUAAAGGUAGUGGUGCCUUUCAGUACGUUUAUAUUCUUUUCAUACUUGUAUCUUGGAACACAAAAAUCAAGUAACCAUGUACUGUACACAUCUUUACAUUCACCUUGUGGUUGUUUAAAGGAAUUGAUGAAUCAAGAGUGGUAAACACACUGGGAUCUGAGCAACAGAAGUCUGAUGUAAGUUUAUGCUAUGUUAUUUGCCAACUGGCUGUAUAACAGUGGAUUGUUCUGAGGAUUAAUUAAGAAAAUGCAAGUAAGUGCUUUAGCAUAACAUUAUCUACACAGAAAUCUUUUAUAUUUGAGCAGACUUUUAAAAGUUCAGUGAUAAUGGAAAUAAAAUGUUUGUGUUGGAGUAAAAUAUAUUUGAAUCUAUGCUUACAGAGUGCUUACAAAAAAUUCAUGAAUAUGAAAAAGCAAUGGGCAGAUUAGGCAGAGGUACAGAGAGACAGAGACAGAGAGAGAGAGAGAGAGAGAGAGAGAGAGAGAGAGAAUCUUCUAUUCACUGGUUCACUCCCAAAAUGCCCUCAAUGGCUGGAGCUGUACCAGGCCAAAACUGGGAGCCAGGAGAUUUUUCCUGGUCUCUCAUGUGGGUACAGUGGCCUGAAGAUUUGGGCCAUUUUCAGCUGCUUUUCCAGGUACAUUAGCAGGGAGCUGGAUUUGAAGAUGGAAACUGGUGCCCAUAUGGGAUGCCAGCAUUGCAGGCAGUGGCUUAACCCAGUGUGCCACAACACUGGCCCCAUACUUAUCUUUUAAUUCCAUUUUUCCAUGGACUUUUGGAAUACCCUCACAUUUUUCUGCUGUUAUCACUAUUAUUGCUCUACUAUCCUGUGUAUUCUUUCCCUACAUAUAUUUGAAUGAUAGAAUACUGAUUCUAAACCAUCAAAAAUCACACAUUUUUUUGCUCAAUGUCUGCUUUUUCUUGGCAUUGAAUAAAAGUGUAAAAAUCUUUAAUUUUUAGCAUGUUUACCAAUAAGUUACAGCUAAAUAGCACUGGCACUGUAAAAAAGAUUAUAGUUAUAUAUUUGUAUUAUAAACUCCAAGUCAUUUGUUUUAAAUAAACACUUAGAAAAGAAGAUGAAAAAGGAAACUUUUAAUGGUUAGUAUUUUAUUUAAUACUUUUAAAAUGCAUAUAGCAAGAAGCAUAGAAGAAUUGUAAUACUGUAAUUCAAUUUCAAAGAUUAGGUGUAUAUAAGUUAAUGGUUUUUCUGACAGUUGGCAUUAUAUUUUAUAAUUACUAGCUGUUCAAAGUUAAAUGAAACAAUCUUUUGUCACUUGCAGGUAUAUAACAAUAAAGGCUAUAAAUAAUAAUUAGUACUCUGUAUCUACUUAACUAGGUAUAAUUUCUCCCCAAAAAACUGUUGUUACAUAAUUACUAUAUUGUACAUA